CACCGUUGAGUUGUCUGAAGCCAAUCUCCCCUGGAAAUUGACAAAACGUGUCGUUUUCCAAGAGUUUCUGGUUCUCUGAGAUCCAGUUUGGAGGUAUUCAGCUCCCAACUCAGCCUGGAUAAUCUGGUUCUCAUUUGCGGGGCCAGCGUGGUCCUGCAAGAAGAGGGCUCCUUGCAGCUGAUUCAGUUUGGGGUUUGAAAAUGGGCUCCAUGGCCGUGACUCGGGAACUGACUUCUCUUCAAAAGUGGGUGAGGACAUAAGGAUGAGAGAGUUUAUGCAAAGCCGCUACAACUUACGGCUCUUCUCUCCCAGAUUCUCUGCGCUGUCCCUUCUCAGACUGUAAACUCCACGAGGGGAGGAACCAUAUCUAAAAUGAACUCACUGUUGUACCUUGGUGCCUGGCACGGUGCCUAGGAUGUAGUAGGCAUCAAGACUUAUUGAAUGGGAGGAUUUUUCUCUGCCUCCCAAAUCAUCUAAUGAUGCUGACACCACUGUCAGCGCGUUCUGUGUCUUGUGGUUGUUGGUGUUUAAAGUGGAGACAAAAAGUGUCACAGAGAGAAGUCAG
rnacentral:lncRNA from 1 species